UACGUAGGGUGCAAGCGUUGUCCGGAAUUAUUGGGCGUAAAGAGCUCGUAGGCGGUCUGUCGCGUCUGCUGUGAAAACUCAGGGCUUAACCCUGAGCUUGCAGUGGGUACGGGCAGACUAGAGUGCGGUAGGGGAGACUGGAAUUCCUGGUGUAGCGGUGGAAUGCGCAGAUAUCAGGAGGAACACCGGUGGCGAAGGCGGGUCUCUGGGCAGUAACUGACGCUGAGGAGCGAAAGCGUGGGGGGCGAACAGG
rnacentral:rRNA from 1 species